rnacentral:rRNA from 1 species
GAGUUUGAUCCUGGCUCAGAACGAACGCUGGCGGCAGGCCUAACACAGCAAGUCGAACGUGAAGCCACCUUCGGGUGGUGGAAAGUGGCAGACGGGUGAGUAACGCGUGGGAACGUGCCUUUCGGUUCGGGAUAACCCAGGGAAACUUGGGCUAAUACCGGAUACGCCCUUCGGGGGAAAGAUUCAUCGCCGAAAGAUCGGCCCGCGUCGGAUUAGCUUGUUGGUGAGGUAAAAGCUCACCAAGGCGACGAUCCGUAGCUGGUCUGAGAGGAUGAUCAGCCACACUGGGACUGAGACACGGCCCAGACUCCUACGGGAGGCAGCAGUGGGGAAUAUUGGACAAUGGGCGCAAGCCUGAUCCAGCCAUGCCGCGUGGGUGAAGAAGGCCCUAGGGUUGUAAACCCCUUUCAGCGGGGAAGAUAAUGACGGUACCCGCAGAAGAAGCCCCGGCUAACUCCGUGCCAGCAGCCGCGGUAAUAC